UCGGUAAUUUCCAGCUCCAAUAGCGUAUAUUAAAGUUGUUGCGGUUAAAAAGCUCGUAGUUGAUCCUCAGUUCCGGACUGACGGUGCACCGCCCGGUGUCUCUCCGUCAUGCUCCGAACAGCAGGGACGACCCUGCCCGGCCGGCUCGCACGGGGUGCUCUUCAUCGAGUGUCCCGCGUGGCCGGCGAGUUUACUUUGAAAAAAUUAGAGUGCUCAGAGCAGGCUACUUGAAUGGCCUGAAUGGUGAUGCAUGGAAUAAUGGAAUAGGACCUCGGUUCUAUUUUAUUGGUUUUCGGAACCCGAGGUAAUGACUAAUAGAAACAGGCGGGGGCAUUCGUACUGCGACGCUAGAGGUGAAAUUCUUGGACCGUCGCAAGACGAACUACUGCGAAAGCAUUUGCCAAGGAUGUUUUCAUUAAUCAAGAACGAAAGUUAGAGGUUCGAAGGCGAUCAGAUACCGCCCUAGUUCUAACCAUAAACGAUGCUGACUAGCGAUCCGCCGGCGUUAUUCCCAUGACCCGGCGGGCAGCUUCCGGGAAACCAAAGUCUUUGAGUUCCGGGGGAAGUAUGGUUGCAAAGCUGAAACUUAAAGGAAUUGACGGAAGGGCACCACCAGGAGUGGAGCCUGCGGCUUAAUUUGACUCAACACGGGGAACCUCACCAGGCCCGGACACCGGAAGGAUUGACAGAUUGAGAGCUCUUUCUCGAUUCGGUGGGUGGUGGUGCAUGGCCGUUCUUAGUUGGUGGAGCGAUUUGUCUGGUUAAUUCCGAUAACGAACGAGACUCUGGCCUAUUAACUAGUCGACGGAUCUCCAGCCAUUGGUGUCCAGUUCGCAACUUCUUCUUAGAGGGACUAGCGGCAUUCUAGCCGCACGAGAUUGAGCAAUAACAGGUCUGUGAUGCCCUUAGAUGUUCUGGGCCGCACGCGCGCUACACUGAAGGGACCAACGUGUUCUCCCCCUCCGAGAGGAGCGGGUAACCCGUUCAAACCCCUUCAUGAUAGGGAUUGGGGCUUGCAAUUGUUUCCCAUGAACGAGGAAUUCCCAGUAAGCGCAAGUCAUCAGCUUGCGUUGAUUACGUCCCUGCCCUUUGUACACACCGCCCGUCGCUACUACCGAUUGAAUGAUUUAGUGAGGCCUUCGGACUGGCGCUCCUGGAUGCUGGACCUCACCUCUCCCGAGGGGGGCCCUCGCCUCGAGCUGACGGAAAGAUGUCCAAACUUGAUCAUUUAGAGGAAGUAAAAGUCGUAACAAGGUUUCCGU
rnacentral:rRNA from 1 species